UACGUAGGGUGCAAGCGUUGUCCGGAAUUAUUGGGCGUAAAGAGCUCGUAGGCGGUCUGUCGCGUCGGCUGUGAAAUCCCGAGGCUCAACCUCGGGUCUGCAGUCGAUACGGGCAAACUAGAGUAUUGCAGGGGAGACUGGAAUUCCUGGUGUAGCGGUGAAAUGCGCAGAUAUCAGGAGGAACACCGGUGGCGAAGGCGGGUCUCUGGGCAAUAACUGACGCUGAGGAGCGAAAGCGUAGGGAGCGAACAGG
rnacentral:rRNA from 1 species